UUGAGAAAUUUUGCAUUUGAAAAGACAGUAUGACAGAAAGCACUUAUAUACAACCAAAGCAUUUUUUAGUAUUUUUUUUUUUUUUUUUGGUAUGAUACAAGUUACCUUACAACCAUUAUUUUCUGCAAAAUAUUUGUCUUUUCAGACAAAAAACAAAAAAACAAAACAAAAAAAAAGGAAAAAAACAUAUUUCCCUAGACAAAACUUACAGCUAAGGCACAAUUUGUUAGGCUAAAAUAAAAACAUAGGGUAGUGCAAUAAGUGUUAAAAAUCACAUUCUACUACAAGAAAUGUAUUCUGACAUUUUGAACUUUUAAGAUGGUAAAAUUUAAGACAUUUACAUUUUUCAAUUCAUAAAAUAUUCAAUGAAAUAAAUAGCAAAAUAUCUACAUCUUUCAGUGUCUGCCAUUUAUUUUAUUUUUUUUUAUUUUUGACAACAUAAUAUUUAUUUAUUCAAUAUAAAAUAUUACUGUACAAUUUUAAUGCACAAUAUGAUUUGUAACAAAAUAUUUAGAAUUUAUUAAACUAUGUCACUACUGAAUAUUCAGUUUAAAAAAAAAAAAAAAAAAAUGAGCGAAAACAGGAUUUUAUUUCUGGUAAAAUAAAUCGAAAUUAAGAAGUAAACUGUACUUUAACAGUAAACAAUUUCAUUAGCCAAGCAUAUUCCCUUUGUAAACUCUUUGUGUUUAUGUGUUCGCUAUAGGGUCAGCAUGAAUAGAUGCCAAAAGAAAGGAUUCCAACCAAUUCACUGCCAGAGCAAAUGUAGAACAUACAGUGUUGUUAAUGAAGUAAUAUAGAUGAUAUAAAUGUAAAACAUCUGUGCACAAAAGAUUUCCUCUUCAAACCAUUCUAAAAAAAAAAAAAACAUACAUGAUAAACAAAAAAAAAAAAAGUGUUUUUAUCAUUAUAAAAGAGUGUAUUAAUGAGCGUAAUUGGCAGAUGACAGAAUUUAUAAUGGGUAAUAAAUGCCAAACUUGGUCUAAUAGAUUUUUUUACUGCUCCUUUGGGUCAAAACAACCUUUUUUCUUAACUUUAUAUAAAUCUUGCAGAUGAAUAUUGAUCAAAAACCUAGAUUGAGCAAUAGGAGGUAUAGCUGUAAAAAUACAAAUAUCCCAAUCAUAUAUAAAUUGGGACAAUUAUUUGAUAAAUUGCCCUUUUUGUUGUGUUACCAUUAAAAGAAGUCAUUACAGAUUUUCAGGAGUCUAAGCAACUAUGGUUCGUUAUGUGUUGUUGAAGUAUGGCAUAGAUUCCACUAAAAUGAUUACGUACUAUUAUAUAGCCAACGCAUUUCUCAGAUAGACCAUGUCUAAUGCGGAGCACACUGUAUCCCUAGCUUGAAAGUCCUGCUCUAAAUAGCAAUCUCAAGUUACCACAAUGCCCCAAUGAGUACAUGUGGUAAUCAAAAACAGCAAAAUUAUUGGUGCAUAAUACAUUAUAACAAUAAUUUGUGGUGUCACUGUUGCAUUUUUCACAAGAAUUAUAAUGCUUUAGCUCAAACGCCUUUAGCAUUUUAAUAAUUUUAUUUUGGCAUCUUCCAGGAUUCCAGCAUGAAUCAGUAUAUUUGGUAGGGGAUGCAUCAAAGCUUAAAUGUAAUAAAUGGAUUAUCAUACUGAAUUAAAGGAACACUAUAGCUUUAGGAAUACAAAUAUGUAUUUCAGACGCUAUAGUGCUCUGUUCACCAUUUAGGUGGCCAGGUCAGUGCCGCCAGCAUAAAAAGGUAGGCAACUCACCUUUCCUUCCUCAAUGCACCGGUCUCCCAGCUCAAGCUCUGCUUCUUUGGCUGAGAUCAUCAAAAUCAAUUAUCUCAGCCAAUCCAAUGCUUUCUUACAGGAAAAAUGGCACACUGUGCUAUUCAGAAGUCUCUAUCUGACUAAAAUAGCACAGUUUUAAUCUGCCAUUUUUUGGUAGUCCCUCUAGUGACUGUCAGAACUGCAGAUUGUCAAUGUUUUCAACUUCAGGUUCAAUUGGGCGUGGGGGGAGAGGGGCACAUGGCCUAUUGUGUUCUUUUAUGCAAUAUAGUCUAGUUAUUAAUAAACUAUCAUUAAAAAGUGAUCAAAUGUCACUUUUGUUUUUCGAUUAAUCGGUCCUCCACCAUUGAUGCAUAUUACAAUGAUCAGAUUCUGUGGUUUGCAAUAUUUAUUUAUGGAGUGUAUGACCACUGAAUUAACAUUUCUAUAGACGACAGAACUAAACAGUCGCACAGUAAAAACUAAAAACUCCUUUAAAGGACUUCAACUCAUUGAACUUGUGUAGGGAUACUUUCUUACCUUAAGGGUGAAAUUGUGUAUAAGGGUGUUCUCCAGUGCUUUAACAAUUUGAGAUAAUUAUUUUUUAAUAAUUUUGCACAAAUAAUUUAUUUUAAUAGAAAGUAAUAUUCACAUAUUAUUAAUGAUACAAAAUUGAUACAAAACUAGUGAAUUUCUGCUCUGCUAUGGUAAUGAAAUGUCUAGUGUCUUACUAGGCUGUUACUGUUUACUGUUUAACACUAGACAUUAGGUAACAUUUGCUUAAGUAACAUUUACUUAUAUUUUCAUUUUAUAGUUAAAUUUUUAUCUAUUUUUUAUUAUUCUGGUAUUUGUGACUUUGUAAUUUAUUUUUUUAUUCUUUUAAGGCCUCCCUAGGACAAAUGUUAUAUAGUUGUUAUGCCACUGAACUCAAUGGGGAAAAAAGUAAAUAUAAAACAAAUAUAUGCGUAUAAUUAACUGCAAACCAUUCAUCAUGCAGCUAUGCUAAACAAUAUAACAUUCAAAAAUACAAAAAUAAUAAAUGUGAUUUUUCGAGUAAAUGUACGAGUCUGUUAUCGAUGUACCCAUUAUAUAUUUGUCAGGUAUCAACAGACAAUUUAGCAGCAUUGAUGAAAGUACUUAAGAAAGAAAUCUGACCUUCCUACUGUUUACAGACAAGAAGAAAUAUGGUUCUUGCUACUCUGGUUUAAGGCCACAUUGCAAACGUAUAAAACAUAAGGCUUUGUAAAGGACAAAUUAAUCUCAUAAGACAUUGUAUAUUACAAGAAAAAUAUACUAAUGGUAUAUGAAAUUAAAAUUAAACACACAAUAUUAAACACCUUAUUUCAUAACUAACGUGGAGAUCCCAAUCAUCAAUGUUGUGGAUUGUAUAUUAACUAUUCACUAAUUAUGAUAAAUAUCUAUUUUACAAGUAUUAGUAAAAGAGGUGUGUGAAUUGUAUCAGUUAUACUUUUGAACUCUCCAAAUAUAUCUUGUAUGGCUCUCAGUAUCACUCAAACAUAUUCCAUUUGUGAACUCUUUUUUUGUCUGAUGGCCAUAUCUUUGACCCAUUGCUUAGUUCUCCAGGUUGGGGUGUCAAUUAUUAACAAUCGUUCUGUCUAAAAAUUUAAAUCCCAUGUCUGCCUUUGUGUUGGAACUACUCCAUUUGACUGGUUACAUCAACUUUCAGGUCUGAUGGAGCACCCUUUUUUUCCAUUUAUUCCCCACAGGAUGAAUAAGGUGAUCUUUAGGUCAUUGAUCCAGAUUAUACAAUUACAUAUAUGAUACAUUGACAAAGAUCAAUAAAGAACAAAAAAAGUUUUGACCUUCUCUGGUAGAAGUACUGUUGAAGAAACUACCCAUGCUUAAUUUUUUUAAAAUAUGAGCGCUCAUUAGUACGCUUAGAUACAGCAUAUGAGAAAUGCAAGUUUUCAUGCUUGACUAUGAGUUGCCACAUAUUGCCAAUUCAAACAUGUAACAUACAACAAUGGGCAAAUAGAACAGUAUUAGGGAAACCUGCAAUCGUUCUUUAGACCUCAACUAAUUACAUGUUCAACGAGGAUGGUAUCUCUGACUUCCAGCUCAUGUUUAUUUAAUACAAUGAAGACCUAAUUAAUUAUCCCAUUCCUUGAAUUUUUCUGUUCCACCAUCAUGUAGUUUGUUUUUAGAGUGCAAGAGGGAGCAAGACAAAAUAAUUUACAAACAGAACAUUUUUAAUUAUCAGAUAUUAAAAUCGUCUUUUGACAUACUUGUGCUUAAGACAUCCUUUCAGGGUUGCUGGGCUGCUGUCCCAGCAACGUUUAAGGGUUUUCGGAACUUUUUCCUUUCUAAAUAUGGGAUCUUUGCAUUUGUUAGAUAAAUUUAAAAAGUCUUUUUUAAAUUUGUAUAGUAAAUUAUUCUAUGGAUCAAGGACACAAUAUUUGUGGGUUUUAACUGUAUUAUUUGUAUAUCUGAAACUAUUUAAAUAAAGCUUUAAAAAAGAAAAACAGUCAGAGAAUGACAAAGCAUGCUGUUUUUCAAAUGGAAACUUGGUUGAAGUUUAAAUGCAGGAUGUAGAAUAUAUAUCGUAUGUGUACAUUAUAUGACUCGUGAAAAACAUACUUAUACAAUAUCAGAACUCGAAGAAUCCUUGGUAGAAUUGGCAUCCACUUUAUAAAUCAAAAAAAAAAAAUUACUUACUGUUUAAUUUAUCAAUGAAUUAACAGUGUUGGCAAAUUUCUCAUAAAAGUUAUAUAACAGUGUAAAAAAGUGUAGUUAAUUUUAAAAAUAGGUAGCCCCUUCAAGGGAACCUAUUCAUUAAACCCAAUGAGUUCCAGUGAAUAAAUAACAUGAUGGUAUAUUUAGGCCAAAAUAGCUAAAUCGGUUCAAAUCUCAGGUAUUAUUUUAGACAUUUACUUCCAUUCUCUCGAACUUGAAUAGCGAAUACACUGGAAAAGUUUGCUCACAUGUUAACUAGUCUACCCGCUCAUAUUUCAGUAAAAUCUCCCACAGACAGGCAGCUGCUAGUAGACAUUUUGUUUUCUGUUAUGUAUUCAUAGACUGGAGUUCAAAUAGGUGGAACAUUAAUUCAUUUUAAUUACUUCUACAUGAUUGCAAAGCAGGUCAUUCAGAUCAACCAUGAUAAAACACUAUCUGAUUGCUACAAUCAUAUAUGUAUGCGGUACUUCCAACUUUAUAAAAUAACACCAGAUGUAGCAAUUAUGAGGCCAAAAAUGGCAAAAAAUAAGAAAUACUGCAUUACUUUGGAGGUAUAUUAGCGAAUGCAUUAAAAAUUACUGCCAGGAUAAGUAGCUUGUAUUCCUUUUUAAAAAAAAUUAAAAAUGGCGAAACAAAGCUAUACUUUUCUUUCUGAGGUACAUUUUUCACACAAAAAAAAAAAUUACAGUGAUAUGAUAUUUAUGAAGAAGGGAAACAUGAAAUGCCAUAGAGAAGCUACAAGAGCGCACAUAUUUCGAUGACUUUAAAAUGAUUGGUCGGUAAAAUGGCGAUGUAGAUCUUGUGCUCUGUACACACUUUCCGCUAAGCUGUUAAAGUGAAAACUCCAAUUGAAUUAUUACAGAACUUAGAAUGCCCCAUGGUCUAUAUUAAAUACAUUUCACUAUUGGCAUAGAGAUUGAAUAGUGUCAAUGUUGAAAUACAUUUCCAGAAGCAGUGAAAAAAAAAAUCUUUAUAUUUCACAAAGAAUCUACAAAGGGUGAACACUUUAAAUGCAUAUCAAUUAUUUCCUAGUGAACGAUGAUUUACAAUAUAUACCAACGGCUAUCAUUAUUACAAUAUACAAAUACAGCACUGUGAACAGCGCUAAACAUUAUUUACUCUGUCAUCAGAGAAGCCUGUACAGUAUCUUGCUGUUUAUUUGGCAAGGUAACAAAUGGAGUAAUGCCAUUUUGCCUUCUUUUUCUUACAUAAAUGCUUGUGUUGCUAUAUUUUAGCACUUUAAUCCUUGCUGGUACUUACUGCAUGGUGGGUUUGCGUUACCUUACAGGAAACACUACAAAUACGAAUCAUAUAGCUGUAUGAUACAGUGCAUCUUUGUGGGUUCUCUGUUGUAUUUUCUGUUGAGAACAAUAUUUAUAUGCAGUAAAUGAUUCUAUCACAAACUAUCCAAAAAGGUAAACGGCACGUAAAAAAUAGCAUUUUUAUAAGAAGGAGAACAUAAUGGCAUUUUCCCCUUUACAAUGAUGAACAUGACUAUGAUGCAAACAUAAAAAAAUACUAAACAAGUGAUGAUUUGCAUAGUUUAUACAUUCAACUUAAUGCGUUUUUAAUUUAGGAUGCCCAUAUCAGUUUUCCCAUCAAUCUGUAAAGUGAGGUAGCACCUUUGGUAGCACCCUUGGCAAAACAACGUUGCACUGAUGUAAAACACGACAAUAAACAAGACUGAACCAUAAUACUCAGGAAACAUUUGAACAAUCACAUCAUCAUAUAAUAAUUUUGUCACAAAAGUACGCAAAAGAAGGAGAAAACACUGGAUUUGCGCUGUGAACAUACCUAAGAGCGCCCUGUAAUUGUUCUGGAGAAACACCAUUGAAGUAUCAUUCUCAGGUUUCUGGGGCAGUGCACUGGUUUGGGAGUCCUAGUUCAAUCCAGUGUUGCCUUCUUAUUGUGGUCACCAGAAAAGUAUGGGAAGGACUAUGGUUGAAAAGAUCUCAUUUAUGGUUAACUGGUUCGGUUUGACAAGGAUGAAACUAAAGGAAAGUUGGUAUUAUAUGACCUUCAUUGGUUGUUUGAGGUGCUAAUUUACGGUGCUUAACGUUAUACCAGAUACAUUUUAUGUCCAAAAAGCAGAACAUUAAACUUCAGUAAGGCAUUCAUAAACAUAUAAUGAUACUGACAUUUUUUUUUCACCCACCCCAUUAGAGUUUUAUAUCUCUAUUAGGCCAUAUUGGCCAAAGUGGAGACCUGUUUGAUCUUGGGUAUUUUGCCAUUAAUAUAUUUAUAAAGCUUACAUACAUCACACACAAAUGCUCAAUUUAUCAUUUUUGUGGAUUUAAUUUGAUUUUAUAGUCAGAAACCCUACAACAUAUUACAACACGCACAGAGCAUGACCUCCUACGGGUUAUGAAUAAUAUAGCCCUGCAAUGGUAUGUGUAGAAAUGAAAUAGAUGAUCAACAUUUCAAACCCCUUUCUCUUGGACGAUUGAUCUAGAAGUUCUUAAAAAUGUCCAUAGGCAAUGGGUCCACUGUCUAUUAUUCCAUUUAAUAAAUCCUACACUAAUCACUAUUUAGAAGAUAUACUCCCAAUGAAAACAUGUGUGCAUUUAUUUUUGCAUGUUGGCAUUAGGGGUAUAUCUAAAAAAGCUUGCAAAGAUGCAGAACUUCUCUAUGCAGCCUUUGCAAGCCCUUCCCCUUUUUUCCCCAGUUGUGCCAGAAAAAUGACCAAUCAGAGGCUUUUCAUUAACAAGUCUCUGAUUUCAGCAUUGAGUGCUUGCAUGUAUUCAGCAGGGGGUGGGGGGAGAAGACUGAGGAGAUUGCCAGUGCCAGGAGCAGGAGGACAUAAGAGCCCAAAAUUACAAUGAGUCCUAAGGACGGGCAAUCACAGGUUUGCGUCAACUUGCGGGAGGCAGCUUCAGACACGUUCUAGAAGGCUCCCGUUACUUCAGUGGAGGUAACAAAAGAGAACCUCCCCGGCUGUUUGAUUUCCCAAAGAAAUAGGUACUUUUAUAAAAUGCCAUUAAAAUAGGAUACUCCUUACACACAAAGCACUUCAGAAAGCUAAAGUGCUUUAUGGGUGUGGAGUGGUCUUUAAGGACCAAUGACAGUUGAUGGUAUAACAAUCUCAUUCUUGAGAAUCCUGUUCUAAAAUUGAACAUCUCCCUGCAUACAAUUACCACUAAUAAAUUAACAGGAUUAUCCAUUCUAUGAUGGGAUCUUUAAGGAUCGGACUAGGAUGAUAGCAAAGGCCUUAAAGGAUUAAACAUAUGUGAAUUGUCUGUACUUUUAUAAAUAUAUCAAUCAUUUGUUGUCAAAGAUACAAUACAGAAUUCAUAAACUCCAAAGGCUGAUGCAAAAGUACUAUCAUUCCCACCCGGCCUAGGAAUGUUUGGUUGGGGGUGAAGGAAGCCUUAGGGAACUACCUUUAAUUCUGUGUACAUAUUAAUCUGUAUAUAUAACUAUGACGUAUACAUCCAUAUUUAAUGCUUUUUAGCAGGUUAGUUCAUAAUAGAUAAUACUGUAAAUCCCAGCUGCUAGUGAUCACAGUUAUUUAAUAAACCCCCAAUAUGUCUUUCCUUCCAAGUUUUAAUUACAGCUAUAAUUAAACAAAUUCAGUUAACUUGGAAAUAAUAUCCCCAUCUCCUUUUUGGCAUAGAACUUAAUGAGCAUAUUCAGAUCACAAAUUGAAAACAUUCUUUAUUACAAUCUUUGUAUAACGUUCUAAGUAAUGUGCAACCACAACUAAAUUGCAAUAAAUAUAUUUGCAAUUUAGGCCUCAUAUAUUAACCUGAUAAUUAUUUUUACAAGGUGUAAUAUUUUAUGACAAUAUUCUAUUUGAUGUGGAAAUUCGAAUGUUACUAUUUUUUUUACAUACAUAAAGUAGUAAUAUAACUGGUGGGAAGAUUAGUUCAUGUUUGGCAAUGAGGGACAAUUCGGUACAGACACAAAUCAAUUUAAUAUUGAUCGCCAGUUUUCAUGCGAAUGAAAUGGCUGUUAUUGUAGGGCGUCCAUGUUCAAAUGUUAAAGAAUA